AUUGAACGCUGGCGGCAGGCUUAACACAUGCAAGUCGAGCGGAGUGAUGGUGCUUGCACUAUCACUUAGCGGCGGACGGGUGAGUAAUGCUUAGGAAUCUGCCAUUUAGUGGGGGACAACAUUCCGAAAGGAAUGCUAAUACCGCAUACGUCCUACGGGAGAAAGCAGGGGAUCUUCGGACCUUGCGCUAAAUGAUGAGCCUAAGUCAGAAUUAGCUAGUUGGUGGGGUAAAGGCCUACCAAGGCGACGAUCUGUAGCGGGUCUGAGAGGAUGAUCCGCCACACUGGGACUGAGACACGGCCCAGACUCCUGCGGGAGGCAGCAGUGGGGAAUAUUGGACAAUGGGCGGAAGCCUGAUCCAGCCAUGCCGCGUGUGUGAAGAAGGCCUUUUGGUUGUAAAGCACUUUAAGCGAGGAGGAGGCUCUCCUAGUUAAUACCUAGGAAGAGUGGACGUUACUCGCAGAAUAAGCACCGGCUAACUACGUGCCAGCCGCCGCAGUAAGAC
rnacentral:rRNA from 1 species